CGUAAUUUAAAAUCUGAAACAUUUCAGAUUUUUUUUUUUUCCAUUGUUUAACGUUAUCACAUUCCGUUAAUGUUGUCAAAUUUGUAGUGGAUGAAUGGAUCGUAUUAAGCGGGGUCUACUACACCUAAUUCAUCAACAUGGAUUUAUCUUCGAAUCAUAUUUCUGCACGAAAGAAAAGCUCAGUUGCAUAGAUCAUAAGUACCCAAAAUAUUGUAGUGCCGAUCGCUUGGAGCUGUGAUGAAAACCAGAUGCCGUGACGUCAUUCUCUCUACGAGCUGCGAAGGCGCCAAGCAAAAAUUAGGGAAAUUACCGUUUUGAGAUGAUAGACGAUAGACGUGGAAAGCAGAGAUGCUGCUUCUGUUCAAAAAGAACUUUGACGAAUCAUUACUUGUUUAAUUCUCUUAAAUGUUAAAUUUAUGUAAUAAUCGUUUGUCUAAUUAAAAUGUCUUUCGUUAAUUAAUUUGUUCAUCGUUUAAAAUCCCCACAAAAAUUUUCUCAGAAGUGGGAUAGCACUUCAGCACUCGAAUGAACUGUAGUUUUACCUGCUUUCUCCUGGAUUACUACCGGUUUUGAAGAACAACUGUUGCUGUUCUGGACUGUUUUGCAAUGUAUAAUCAACUAUGUUUCGAACAAAAACCUCAUCAAACUCCUAGGAAUGUAUGCUGAUUUACCUGAACUGAAACUGCGUAAUAGUGAGUAAAUAGUGUGCGGCUCUAUUAAGGACUGGAAUUAAUUUUAAUAAUACUGGAUGUCAAGUGUCAAGACGUGAAUUGUGGCCAAAAAUCCAUCGGACAUAAUCUGUUUGUACUCGCCUCUUGUCGACAGCAUUUGUGAUCCAUUGGAUGGUAUGGAAGUAAUUUGUUUCGUUUCUGUUUCCGGAUUAUAGAGCCAGGAACAUCGUGGAUUACCAUUAUAUGAAUGUCCUGGAGGGCCAGUCCACCCUCGGAUGGCCGAAAUGUAGUGCCGAUCGCUUGGAGC